CCAGAAGUCACUGGAGAGUAGGGCUGU
rnacentral:piRNA from 1 species